rnacentral:rRNA from 1 species
AUAUUACUCAGCGGAGGAAAAGAAACUAACUAAGAUUGCCCCAGUAACUGCGAGUGAAGAGGCAAGAGCUCAACCUUAAAAUCGCUUAGCCCUGGUUAAGCGAAUUGUAAGCUCAGGGGCCGGACUUAGGUUGGACCGACGCAUAAGUGCCCAGGAUUGGGCUGCCAGAGAGGGUGAAAGCCCCGUACAUGGCGUCAGUCUGGCUGAGGGAAAGCUUCUCAGAGUCGGGUUGUUUGGUAAUGCAGCCCUAAUCGGGAGAUAAACAUCUUCCAAAGCUAAAUAUGAAUGGGAGACCGAUAGCGCACAAGUA